UACGGGGGGAGCAAGCGUUGUUCGGAUUUACUGGGCGUAAAGGGCGCGUAGGCGGUCAGCACAAGUCAGACGUGAAAUCCCUCGGCUUAACCGGGGAACUGCGUCUGAUACUGGAUGGCUUGAGUUCGGGAGAGGGAUGCGGAAUUCCAGGUGUAGCGGUGAAAUGCGUAGAUAUCUGGAGGAACACCGGUGGCGAAGGCGGCAUCCUGGACCAAUACUGACGCUGAGGAGCGAAAGCCAGGGGAGCAAACGGG
rnacentral:rRNA from 1 species